ensembl:lncRNA
AGGGGGAGCCAAGGGGGGGCUGGGAAGGCCACGUGGGCCAACAGGGCUCCUGGCAGGAGGGCGGGACCCCGGGGAGACUGAAGCGUUGGGGGCGGCUAAGCCCUGGGCAACCCGGAUGGCGGGACACUGAGGUCUCCCUAGGCGCCGGGGAGGGCUCCUGGGACCCUCCGGUAGAGCGGAACCGGAAAGGGACCAGGCCAAGGGCCAGGGGUCCAAGGAAGGGGACAGGAAGGCAGCGCCCGCGGAUCCUCACAGAGGGCUGACGAUGGAAUCUCUAACCAGGAGCUGGGGGUCAGGACUCCUGGGUCCUGAAGGGGAAGCUGAAAGGGGGCUCCUCCGGGCCCCCUCUGCCCUGGGCCAUACCAGCCUCGGGGUCCAAGAGCAGCACCCCCAGCUUAUUGGGAAGAUUCUCCAUUGGGGUUUGGAAGGGUCCAGUGGCCAGCCGGUCUCAAGGCCGUUUAGAAUUCUCAGGUGGGCGUCUUAACUGCCACCCGGAGUCUCUGGGCCGGGCCUUCCCUGGACUCUCGGGGAAUGCCUGGACUGUAUGCUACUUCCUAUGGAGCUAAGGGGGGGUUCAGGCCGGGAGCCCCCCCAGGCCCUGAGGGGCAGCCAUCCCCCCUGCGGUGUUGUAAGGGCACUGCUCACACUGGCCUCCCCAACCGUGUCUACUUGGCCAGGCCCGCAGGACAAGGCCUCACUGUAAGCAGCACCAGAGGAGGGCCUGUGGGAGUUUCCAAAAGCAUCUCCCAAGCUCCUGGCCAGGAGCACGUCCUCUGGCCCUCCCCAGCCUCCCUGCAGUCCAGAGGACAAUCUCACCUCCUCCAGGAAGCCCUCCUGAACGCCUCUUGGCUCUCUGCCCUCUCUCUGAUAAGGAGAGGAACGUGAGAGCCGCGGACGUGAUCAGGAUCCCGAGGGUACGGGUUGGCUCCUCAGCCAGGCCGGAGGAGUGUGACCUGUUGAGGGUCGGCAGGAGAACAGAGCCACAGGAAGAAGGAGAAGGCCCCGCCCCUCCAGGGGCAGCGGUCUCUAGCCACGCCCUCUUGCUCUGGUCUCUCUCUAGCCACGCCCCUUCCUCUGCUAUUUCCCCGCCCAGGUUACCCCAGCAACAAAAGCCAGGGAAAGCACCUUCUUGGUCCCGUGAGCUCGGACCUCUGAGGAAUUGGCGUUGGAAUUCCUGGCUCUUGCUCAGUAAACCGAAUGAGGAAGGGAAUCCCUGGGGCCGGGGCCUGUCAGGAGUCCUCGAGGACAUCCCGAGGUUUUAGACACCUGUCAGGGGAAGAGCAGUGUGCCGGCCCCUGCUGGCCACCCUGCCCAGGCGGGUGGGGGGCGUACGCACCAGAGUUCCCUCUAACGAGCCCCAGCAGGAAAAGCUUUCAAAGCGGAGGAGGGAUGGACUGGGCAGGAUCUUGACUUCCUAUUUCCCAGAGGCCUCUGCGCUGCGCCUCGGGAUGACCCUCUCCCUCUUCCCUCCUCCCCCAUCUCCCUGCUGUGUCUCCAGUCUGAGCUUGUGGUCAGAUUUGAACGGAGGCCUUUCUGCCUCUGCCCAGGUCCUGCCGGCUCCCCUGAUCCCCUUUCCAGAUAAGGGAUAACAAUGGGCAGAGUCCAGCCUUCUCCGAAGAAAAUGCGCAGAACCAAACGUUCCGGUUCCCCGACCUUCACCCCCUUCCUCUCCCCACACUAAGUGCUGGGCCCCAGGAGCCUCUUCUUCGUGAGGACAAAUGCACUGGCUGAGAGACGGCAUGACUCCCCGAGAGAACAGUCCAGAGGCGUCCGGGAGGGAGGAGCAGGCAGCACGGCAGGACACAGGACGAUCCCUCCAGGCCGCUGUGUCUGGGCUUCAGACUGACCUUCGGACCCAGUUGGGGAGUUUCUGCCAGAAUGGACCUGAACAGGAUGGGGGGGGGGGGCACGGCAAAUUAGAAUCUGCUCCCCAGAACGCUAAAUCCCAGCUUCCCGUGUUCCGUCUCACGUUAUGUCCUUGGGGUUUGGAGGGAAAGUUUGGGUGUGACCCCUCUCUCUUUUCCCAGGAUUAAUAAAUCUCAUGUAAUACUUGGCGUUAUUGGCGAU